GAACGCAUCUUGCGCUCCUUGGUAUUCCGAGGAGCAUGCCUGUUUGAGUGUCAUUAUCACCCCUCAAGCCCUCGGCUUGGUGUUGGACGGUUUGGUGGAGGCCCCCUCGGGGGCUCCUGCCCCUCCCAAAGACAAUGACGGCGGCCUCGUUGGACCCCCGGUACACUGAGUUCUUCACGGGACACGUAUCGGACACAUGGGUUUACGGGACACGGUCUGCCUCCCCUCAGGGAGAAUCUUUCUAAGGUUGACCUCGGAUCAGGUAGGGAUACCCGCUGAACUUAAG
rnacentral:misc_RNA from 1 species